CUUGCGUAGUCUGGAUCUCUCUCCAUCACCUUGGGACACUGCACCUUGUCUGUAAUGUCAAGUGGCUCAUAGCUUCCUAAAAUAGAGGCUCUUUCCCAACUGUAAGCCUUUGCUUGUGCUGUCCUCUCGCUCCUAAACCUUUUCAUCCUAUCCUCUUCUCAAUCUAGAAAAGGACUGCUCAAUCCGGCUCUUCCUUCAGCUGUCACCAUGUCAUUAACCCAUUGUGAGUCUGGGAUGAUGACCCUCUGAUACAUUUCAUAGUCUCAUAGCCUUUAUUUCUGCCUAGCACCUGUUGCCUCAUAUUGAAAUUCACUAAGUCUUGUGAGGGACAUUUUAUUUCUCUGUCUUCUCAGUGUUGGGUUAGACUAGGUCAUUAGAUUAGGUUACCUGGCAGGUGGUAGACUCAAGACAAAUGCCUGUAUGUUUUAAUCCUUCAUAUACAGUAAUAUAUUCACUCAUUACCUUUUUAAACUUAUCAUUAGCAAGGUGUGGGUAAGCUUCAUAUUUUUGUCCCUGAAUUUAAGAGAAGGAAGGUACCACAACCCGGAGACUAGAGCAAUGAGAAAUGCUUUCUGAAGAGGCAUCCUAAAAUGCAUGUGUGCAUACUCUCAUGCCAAAGGAUGAUUCUAGAAUGGUGCAGGUAAUUCCAGACUCUGAUGCCUUCCUGUCUUGUAUGUCAGUCACCUGUCUGCUCUGUACUGUUGUAUCCUUUUCCUCACCCCAGAAUUCUCCUGCCUUGACAUUGUUUUAGGAUCAGUAAUGAGAAAGCAGAUAAUGAAAAUCAUUCCUUUUUGCUUUUCUGUUUAGUGAUUUACAUGGAAUUCUAGAGAUACACCCCCCAACCCUGAAUUAAUGUGCUGGUUUUCCUAGAGUAGCCAGUGCAGUGCCUGGCCACAGCAGGAGCAUGAGGGGCACGCCGUAGUGCAUCCUCUCCCUGUCCCCUUCCUCAGGUCAAGGGGUCCUCAUGCAGCCACUUGGGCAUCCCAAUUUGUGUUGUUUGGAAAGAUGAGAAGAGGGGUUCCAGCUCUCAUUCCUGCCCGAGUGGUGAGGGCCUGAUGGGGACAAGUUGCUGGGACUCUGAGCACGUUCUCCAUCCUGACACGGUUGUGCCCGUGGCUCAGGAUGGGAAACCAUGCGGAAACCAACUGAUAAGAAAAGUGGACUUUUGUGGGGUGGCUUCAGGAUGAGAAACUCCCAUUAGGGCCAGGUUGCCUGGUAAGCCUGAUGUUGGCGAAGGUCCGGAACAGGAGUCAACAGAGCCUGAAUUGGAUGCCUCUUUCUCUUUGCUUCCUGAGUAAAGCAGGGACAGUACUAACAUGGAUUCUAAUGCAGUAAAAACUGGAGCCAGGGUGGGGGUGGGAAGCAAUUACUCUGUUACCUCGAGUGAAUAUUACUCAUUUGAAGUAAAUCUCUUGGCAUUGCCACAAGAGUAUUCACAUGCACAUAAAUAUGCCAACAGGUAUAAUCUUGUACUUGGAAUAUUUGUUAUGAUUUUCAAACAGGCAUGCCUUAACAUAGUAAAGUGAAAGACCAAGAGUGAGUGAUAAUUUAAGGAAAUAAAACCUGUUUUUUAUCAAUGACUAGAGAAUCGAAUAUUGAUGUGAUGUCACUUAUAAGGCAUCUUUGCACUCAGAGGCUGUGAUAAAUUUCCUUGCAGCUUACCACAUGCUGAAAUUUAGCUAUUGCAUCUUGGCAACCCAUCCUUUUCAGGCAUGGUGAUGCAAGACAUGGCAGUUUGCCAUUAUGCAUCUCUCCUACUUCUUGUCAUAAUAACAGAUUCAACUCUUCACCGUUACUUUUCUUCUUGCCUUGAUCACAGAGGUUAUUUAACAAGAACAAAGCUUUUUGAAAAAUAUUAAAACACAGCUGGCCUCAAGACUAAUUGACAACAUUUGUCCAUCUGGGCCUGUACCGUAGAUGGCCCAAGUGUAUCACUUCAGUGGCGUUGUCUUCUGGAGGUUGAUCCUGAAACUUCAGCCAUAACUCAGUGACAGCUCUCUGGGGGGAAAGGGGAAUGCCCUGACAUAUAUUUUGAGCACACAGAGUUUGGAGCAUGGCAUCUUACACAGAGCAAACACUCAUUUGUCUUUCCCUCCUCUUAUUUAUUUUCUCUGGCCAACAUUGUCACUGCUCUUAAUAAUUCUGAAAUUUCAAAAUAAUAAAGUACUAGAAAGGUAUUUCAUAAGCUGCUCCUGAAAUUUAAGCAUCGUAAGGCAUGGCAUUGGAGCCAGGUGACUUUCUGCAAGACAUUCUACAUUCAUAUUUGGUUCAAGACUUUUUCAAAUGCAGAUUUCCCUUUCUAAUUAGAGAAAAACGAACAGCCAAGUUAACCUGAGCAUCAAAGUUAUAAAAUGUAAAAUUUUUUAAAAUUAGACAUCAUAAAGAUCUGACCAAGCACCUAAGCAGACGAUGCCUUUUGCAUCUGAGUAAAAUGGAAUUUCCCUGAGUCACCAUACAUGUGAAUGUGUUCAGGGAGUCAAAGGAAUUUGUAAUUUAUUUACCUUAGUAAAUACAGAUUUUACAUCGAUGGCUUUUUUAUUAGCCUUACAUGUAUGAAUGAAAAUAUAGGGAAUUUUUUUUUCCCCCAAGGUAAUCAUAAUUAAAAUGGCCCUCAUCAUUUUGAAGCAUAAUUGAAGCAAAUGUGUAUCAUCGUAAACUUGUUGCUCAUGGUCACGGACACAGAAAUGUGCAUGAACCAGGAGCAGUAGAUGUUAGAGGUUAGUAUACACUUAAAGUAAAUGGGAAGGAAGGGAAAAAGGUGAUUCAAUUAGAGCAAAACUCUACUGUACUUGGCACGAAGGCAAUCAGUAAAUUGCUCUUUAAAUUAUUUAAUGUCUUACUGUAACAUUGUUAUCUUCUUACAACUUUUAAUUUUUUUUUACUCUUUUAUUAGGUCAUAA